AGGGUUUGAUCAUGGCUCAGAGUGAACGCUUGCGGCGUGCAUUAUGCAUGCAAGUCGAUCGGGAUUCACUUGGCUCUAUUCUUCGGAAGAGAGCCUUGUGAUGAGAGUGGCGAACGGGUUAGGAACACGUGGGCAAUUUGCCCUUAAGUUCGGGAUAGCCUCGGGAAACCGGGAUUAAUACCGGAUGUGGUCGUACAUCGCAUGGUGUACUGUCUAAAGAUAGGGAUCCUUCGGGACCUGUCGCUUAAGGAUGAGCCCGCGACCCAUCAGCUUGUUGGUAGGGUAACGGCUUACCAAGGCAAUUACGGGUAGCUGGUCUGAGAGGAUGGUCAGCAACACUGGGACUGAGACACUGCCCAGACUCCUACGGGAGGCUGCAGUCGAGAAUCAUUCGCAAUGCACGAAAGUGUGACGAUGCGACGCCGCGUGGAGGAUGAAGGCCUUCGGGUUGUAAACUCCUGUCAUGAGGGAAAAAUGGUACGGGUGGUAAUACCACCUGUAUUUGAUGGUACCUCAAAAGGAAGCCACGGCUAACUCUGUGCCAGCAGCCGCGGUAAUACAGAGGUGGCGAGCGUUGCUCGGAUUUACUGGGCGUAAAGGGUGCGUAGGCGGCAUGGCAAGUCGGGUGUGAAAUCUCACCGUUCAACGGUGAAACUGCAUUCGAAACUGUCAAGCUAGAGUACAGGAGAGGAGAGCGGAAUUCUCGGAGUAGCGGUGAAAUGCGUAGAUAUCGAGAGGAACAUCGGCGGCGAAGGCGGCUCUCUGGACUGAUACUGACGCUGAGGCACGAAAGCUGGGGGAGCGAAGAGGAUUAGAUACCCUCGUAGUCCCAGCCGUAAACGUUGUGUACUUGGUGUGGGCGGCUUUGUCCCCGUCCGUGCCGUAGCUAACGCGUUAAGUACACCGCCUGGGGAGUACGGCCGCAAGGCUAAAACUCAAAGGAAUUGACGGGGGCCCGCACAAGCGGUGGAGCAUGUGGCUUAAUUCGAUGCAACGCGAAGAACCUUACCUGGACUUGACAUUCAACUGCACGCCCCGUGAAAGCGGGGAAGCCUUCGAGGGUGUUGAACAGGUGCUGCAUGGCUGUCGUCAGCUCGUGCCGUGAGGUGUUGGGUUAAGUCCCGCAACGAGCGCAACCCUUGUGAUUAGUUGCCACUUCAGUGGAAACGCUGGAAGCACUCUAGUCAGACUGCCCGUGACAAGCGGGAGGAAGGUGGGGAUGACGUCAAGUCAGUAUGGCCCUUAUGUCCAGGGCUGCACACGUGCUACAAUGGACGGUACAAUGCGAAGCAAGACCGCGAGGUGGAGCAAAUCGCCAAAACCGUCCCCAGUUCGGAUUGGAGUCUGCAACUCGACUCCAUGAAGCCGGAAUCGCUAGUAAAGGCGUAUCAGCUACGACGCCUUGAAUACGUUCCCGGGCCUUGUACACAC
rnacentral:rRNA from 1 species